GAACGAACGCUGGCGGCAUGCCCAACCCAUGCAAGUCGAACGAGACCUUCGGGUCUCGUGGCGCACGGGUGCGUAACGCGUGGGUACCUGCCCUUAGUUUCGGAAUUACUCCCCGAAAGGGUUGCUAAUACCGGAUAAUUUCUUCGUACCAAAGAUUUAUCGCCUUUGGUUGGGCCCGCGUUGGAUUAGCUUGUUGGUAGGGUAAAAGCCUACCAAGGCUACGAUCCAUAGCUGGUCAGAGAGGAUGAUCAGCCACACUGGGACUGAGACACGGCCCAGAAUACUACGGGAGGCAGCAGUGGGGAAUAGUGGAAAAUGGGGGAAAGCCUGAACGAGCAAGGCCGCGAGAGAGAUGAAGGCCUUAGGGAAGUAAAGCACGUUUACCCGGGAUGAUAAUGACAGUACCGGGAGAAUAAGCACCGGCUAACUCCGUG
rnacentral:rRNA from 1 species